CAUGCAAGUCGAACGAUGACCUCACUUGUGGGGGGAUUAGUGGCGAACGGGUGAGUAACACGUGAGUAACCUGCCCUUGACUCUGGGAUAAGCCUGGGAAACCGGGUCUAAUACUGGAUACGACCUUCUGGCGCAUGCCAUGUUGGUGGAAAGCUUUUGUGGUUUUGGAUGGACUCGCGGCCUAUCAGCUUGUUGGUGGGGUAAUGGCCUACCAAGGCGACGACGGGUAGCCGGCCUGAGAGGGUGACCGGCCACACUGGGACUGAGACACGGCCCAGACUCCUACGGGAGGCAGCAGUGGGGAAUAUUGCACAAUGGGCGCAAGCCUGAUGCAGCGACGCCGCGUGAGGGAUGAAGGCCUUCGGGUUGUAAACCUCUUUCAGUGGGGAAGAAGCCGGCUCUUCGGGUUGGUGACGGUACCUGCAGAAGAAGCGCCGGCUAACUACGUGCCAGCAGCCGCGGUAAUACGUAGGGCGCACGCGUUAUCCGGAAUUAUUGGGCGUAAAGAGCUCGUAGGCGGUUUGUCGCGUCUGCCGUGAAAGUCCGGGGCUUAACCCCGGAUCUGCGGUGGGUACGGGCAGACUAGAGUGCAGUAGGGGAGACUGGAAUUCCUGGUGUAGCGGUGAAAUGCGCAGAUAUCAGGAGGAACACCGAUGGCGACGGCAGGUCUCUGGGCUGUAACUGACGCUGAGGAGCGAAAGCAUGGGGAAGCGAACAGGAUUAGAUACCCUGGUAGUCCAUGCCGUAAACGUUGGGCACUAGGUGUGGGGGACAUUCCACGUUUUCCGCGCCGUAACUAACGCAUUAAGUGCCCCGCC
rnacentral:rRNA from 1 species